CACUAGGAAGCUUGCCAAGCACUAGCCUUUUAAGCUAAAGAAGAGGCCACAACCUCCCAAGUGA
rnacentral:tRNA from 1 species